UAAGGAAUCUUGCGCAAUGGGCGAAAGCCUGACGCAGCGACACCGCGUGAGGGAUGAAGGCCUUCGGGUUGUAAACCUCUGUCAGGGGGAACGAAACUCCGGUUGGCGAAUAACCGAUCGGACUGACGGUACCUCCAAAGGAAGCGCCGGCUAACUCCGUGCCAGCAGCCGCGGUAAGACGGAGGGCGCGAACGUUGUUCGGAAUCACUGGGCGUAAAGGGCGCGUAGGCGGGCCGGUAAGUCGAGGGUGAAAUUCCAGGGCUCAACUCUGGAACUGCCUUCGAAACUGUCGGUCUAGAGUGCAGGAGAGGAAGGCGGAAUUCCAGGUGUAGCGGUGGAAUGCGUAGAUAUCUGGAAGAACACCAGUGGCGAAGGCGGCCUUCUGGACUGACACUGACGCUGAUGCGCGAAAGCUGGGGGAGCAAACAG
rnacentral:rRNA from 1 species